rnacentral:lncRNA from 1 species
AAAGUUCCAAUUAUGUGAGAAUGAUAUUUUGGACGCACUUAGAAAAAAUAACAUACAUAAAUGUGACAAAAUUCUUAAAAAUAUUGCACCAAGGUAACAAUAACAUAACAUUCCAUUACAAAAAUUAAAUUGUAAGUAAAACGACGAAACAACAAAAGUAGCAACAAUUAACUAAACACGCAAAUUAUUCAUCCACACCUAAUAAGACAACCGUCAAAGGGACGAAUAUAAAUCCGCAACACAAUUCUUAAGCUUGAGGCUUCUCCCACUUGAGUGGUUUCACAACUUCCCAUGUGAAGUCAGGAUCAUCCCUUCCAAAGUGUCCAUAAGCAGCUGUCUUAAGAAACCUGCUGUUGCCACCCCUCUUAAGGUCCAAGUUUAUGGUGAUCAUUCCAGGUCUGAAGUCGAAAUUCUCCUUCACAAUUUGAAGAAUCUCCCUGUCAGGAAUCUUUCCAGUUCCAUAACUGUCAACAAAGACCGACAAAGGUUCAGGCACACCAAUGGCAUAUGAAACUUGAACAAUGCAUCUGCGAGCAAGACCGUUGGCCACUAUACUCUUGGCUGCCUGCCUUACAACAUAGGCACCACUUCUGUCAACCUUGGUUGGGUCCUUUCCUGAGAAGGCACCUCCACCGUGAGCACCCCAGCCACCAUAAGUAUCAAUUAUAAUCUUUCUUCCGGUGAGACCGGCAUCACCAUGGGGACCACCAAUGACAAAGCGUCCAGAAGGGUUAAGGUGGAAGAUUGUCUUCUCAUCCAAGUACUUCUCGGGAAUAACAGGCUUGAUAACAUGUUCCUUAAGAUCAGCAGCAAUCUGGUCGUUACUGACAGUCUCGUCGUGUUGAGUAGAAAUGAGGACAGUGUGGACACGAACUGGAACCAUAGCACCGUUCUCAUUGUAGUACUCGAUGGUAACUUGUGUCUUGCCGUCAGGUCUCAACCAAGCGCAGGUACCAUUCUUCCUAACCUCGGUAAGACGAGAACCAAGUUUGGUUGCAAGGACAUGGGUCAAAGGCAUCAAUUCAGGGGUUUCAUCAGUAGCAUAGCCAAACAUGUGACCCUGGUCACCAGCACCAACCUCCUCCGGGCGCUUGGUGAAGUGUCCGUGAACACCCUGAGCAAUAUCAGGACUCUGCUGCUCAAUGUUAACCAAGACCUUGCAUUUGUCGGCAUCAAGACCAACAUCAUCAGAGAUGAAUCCAAUGGUGCGGCAUGUGUCACGAACGAUCUUCUCAUAGUCUACAUUGGCCUUGGUUGUUAUUUCUCCAAAGACCAUGACCAUGUUAGUCUUGGUGCAAGUCUCACAGGCAACCUUGCUGUCAGGAUCCUGUUCAAGACAGGCAUCGAGCACUGCAUCAGAGAUCUGGUCGCACAGCUUGUCGGGGUGACCCUCGUUCACUGAUUCAGAUGUAAAUAGAAAGGUUUCCGCCAUUGUUCAAGCUACACAAAACAACAAAGUAUAUGUUUAGUACUACAAAAGCACAAAACUUGAUCACUGAUAACCAGAUAAGUGAAACCAAAAAAAUAAACUUUUCUCGGUGCGUAUCAAUAGAAGAUAGCUAAUAUUCGAGAUCAUACUGCAAAAGGAAUAAAGCCACUUAUCCGAAAACAAUUGAAAGGAUAUCUGAAACUUUAUGAUUAAAAUAAUUUAAAAGCUAUUGGUCCUGAUAAAAAAUUGCAGCCAAGUGUAUAGCAUAUCAAGAUUCCCUAAUCACCAAGACAGAAUAUUGAAUUUUUCAAAAAUCAUGAAAGCACACAGCACCAUAUGUCUCAAAAAUCAUGCUACAUGAAUCCUUGGGAUGCGAAAUCAUAGUGCUCAGAAAAUUAGCCAAAAUUUAAAUCACGUGUAAACAGACAAAUUUCUUAACAUGUGUGGAGAAAAAUAUAAAAAGAACUUUACCAUAAGUCCAUAACUGAUUUUUAAUUAAGAUUAGUUUUUGCAUAUGAGUUAUUUUUAUAGUCUGAAAGAGCCAAACUGCAAAAUACAAAACUCAAUUUAUUUUAUUUAUAAGUGAAUAUCCAUAAACAUGUUUUAAUGGAAGAAAGGGCAACUAAUACAUGACAUUAGCAGCUAGAAAUGUAGAUCCAUAAACUGUAGCGGUUAGAACAUAUUAUACCCUAACAGAUCUAGUAUAACACAAAACGACAAGGUUUAACAAACGAACAGGAUUGGACAGGUCAACUACCUAACGGUAACAAAUUCGUAUAAACACUACAACCUUAAUAAACUAUAACAAUCAGAAUCAUAAACAAUGAAGCAAUUCUAAAAGAAGAAGAAAAUUCAGAUCUAAAGCUGAUAUGGUUAAUUUACAAAAAGAAAACAAUCAUUAAAAGACAUAGAAUAGAAAGAGCAUGUAAAUAGUAGAAGAAGAAGAAGAAGAAGAAAGGAACCUGGAGCGAGUGGGGGGGGGGGGUGCAAGUAGAAAUGAAAAGGAGGUUCACUCGCUCUGACUAGAACAGAACAGGAACAGAGCAGAAGGUUAUGAAACUC